AUGGAUGCUGCGGUAGGUCGUGGGGGUCGGUAUGGAGCUGUUGUUGCGAUCUGCAGGGAGCGAGAUGGAAGCUUUCUAGGGGCAUCAGCACUUAUCUUCAAACACAUUGCUGAUCCAACCACACUUGAAGCUUUGGCGGUCAGAGAGGGCCAUGAUCUUGCUGCCGAUUUGAAUCUUGCAAGAGUAUAUGCUGCUACAGAUUGUAAAGAGGUGUACUGCUACAACAGAAAGAAACAUGGGAGGGAUAAACGACGUAUACCCUCCAAUCGGCCAUGUGGCGGCGGUGGCGGUGGCAGUAGCCGCGGCAUCCUCGGCGGCCUUUUUGUCGGCUUCGGCCUUCUCAACGGCGGCACGGUCGGCGUCGGUCGACAUGGUGAUGACGAAGCUUUCGUUCGGGCCGCGCCUCUGCUCUCGCCCAAGUCGCCUCAUCGCGUCUCCGCGAUUGUUCCCUUUCCUUUCUCUCGUCGUCUCGAUUCGUUUCGAAUCCCUCGUCGCCUCUGCUCCCUGUGCUCGCAGGGAAUUCGGCCCGUCUCGUCCGCCUCCGGGGAGCGAUCGACCGGGGAUUCCGUCGAGCCGUUCGGUUUUGCUUCUGCGGCUGAUUUGGUUUCGGGCGACCCCAGGGCCGGAGCAAGGUUUUUUGCUUCUGCCCUCCAUGUCGUUGCAGAUUUGUUUUGGCCUCAGACAAUGCUGGUAGAAGCCGGGGACUACAUGCAAACAUGUGCUUUGUACGUGUCACGGUGUCAGGACUGGAUCUGGUAUGUGGAGAUCCCUGGGGUGUUGUAUGUCGAAGGGGAUUUGAGGCAGGUUGUAGUUGGCAAACUCAAGCCCAACCUGAUGAUGAAUCUGUUUGCAAAUCUUCUAAAUCCACUACGCCACCUCCGUGAGUUCGCUUGCAGGACUGGAUCUGGAUCUGGUUUGGACAGGAAACUCCCUAUGGUGUAUAACAGUAUAGGAAGGAGGCUUGAGGCAGGAUGUUGUGGAGUGAUGAAUCAAAGGAUCGAGAUUGUUGGUUCUGGGGACUUUCCGGAAGCAUUGAUUGUGGUUUUUUGCUUCCGCCUUCCUGUGGUUGCAGAUCAAGCCAUGCUGUAUAUGUUGGAAUUGGUGGGUGUGCCCUGUAGAGUCAGAUACAAGACAGUGGAGAUUGUAUUGAAGGCUAGAGGUUUGGGUGAUUUAUGGCUGUUCUUUAGCUCCUCGGAUGAUAUCUUAAGUUUGGGAUUGGAAUUGUUGGUCAUGCCUGCAUGCUUUCAGUUUGAACUUGCAUUCAGUGGUAGUCUGGAGUUAGUAGUGUGCACAUCUGAUUCUUCCAACCGUCCUGAAGCAUCUUACUUGGUUUCUGUUCUGUGCCAUCGGUAUCUGCUUCAACUUGCAUGUGAAAAUGAUGUUCUCUCAUUGGUUCUUCUCCACUGGGAUCUGGAUUACACAUAUCUUCAAUUCAAUGCAUCUUCUCAGUUUGCUGGGGAACUUCCUAGCUUUAAUUUGACAACUAGCAAAACAGUCUGGCUAAUUCGAAGUUCAUUCAUCCUGGAUUAA
rnacentral:rRNA from 1 species